rnacentral:rRNA from 1 species
AGAGGGGGACCUUCGUACCUCUUGCCAUCAGAUGUGCCCAUAUGGGAUUAGCUAGUAGGUGGGGUAACGGCUCACCUAGGCGACGAUCCCUAGCUGGUCUGAGAGGAUGACCAGCCACACUGGAACUGAGACACGGUCCAGACUCCUACGGGAGGCAGCAGUGGGGAAUAUUGCACAAUGGGCGCAAGCCUGAUGCACCCAUGCCGCGUGUAUGAAGAAGGCCUUCGGGUUGUAAAGUACUUUCAGCGGGGAGGAAGGAGAUAGGGUUAAUAACCUUGUAGAUUGACGAUACCCGCACAAAACACACCGGCUAACUCCGUGGCGGCAGCCGCGGUAAUAG